UCUCACAUAACUUACCUUUUGACUUUCCCAUCUUUUUUUAUCGUGACGUGUAGUGCAUAAGUGGAACACUCAGGCUGUGUCUAUAUUUAUUUGGAAUUCCAAGAAAGUGAACUCAACAAUGUAAUAAGUGAGGGUAAACUUAUUAGAACCGGAAGUAAAAAAAAAUACUAUCAAACUAUCAUACAGAGUAAUCUUUCUUACGAAGACGCACUCAACCGCAUAUUUAAUCCGAUGGUGCCAAAUACAUAUUCGCCAAAAGAAAAGGUGAUAGUUGGUGAUGCAUUGAAUGGAACGACACUCACUUUACGUAACGAGAGUACGAGUGAUAGCGGUCCAACAUUGGAUUAUAUCAACAAGAUGGGGCACAUAUACAAAAUUAGACUGUUGAACGAGACCAAGAAUGAAGAUGUAGAAGAUGAAAUUAAAGACCAUAAACGCGGGAUGAAUUAAUACUCGACGAUAUGCCGAAUUUGCUGCUCAUAUUGAGAUCUUGAAAGAUUUAUUAUUGCCUAUAAAAUACUUAUA